AUUGAACGCUGGCGGCAGGCUUAGCACAUGCAAGUCGAGCGGAGAUGAGGUGCUUGCACCUUAUCUUAGCGGCGGACGGGUGAGUAAUGCUUAGGAAUCUGCCUAUUAGUGGGGGACAACAUUCCGAAAGGAAUGCUAAUACCGCAUACGCCCUACGGGGGAAAGCAGGGGAUCUUCGGACCUUGCGCUAAUAGAUGAGCCUAAGUCGGAUUAGCUAGUUGGUGGGGUAAAGGCCUACCAAGGCGACGAUCUGUAGCGGGUCUGAGAGGAUGAUCCGCCACACUGGGACUGAGACACGGCCCAGACUCCUACGGGAGGCAGCAGUGGGGAAUAUUGGACAAUUGGCGGAAGCCUGGUCCAGCCAUGCCGCGUGUGUGAAGAAGGCCUUUUGGUUGUAAAGCACUUUAAGCGAGGAGGAGGCUACCUGGAUUAAUACUCUAGGAUAGUGGACGUUACUCGCAGAAUAAGCACCGGCUAACUCUGUGCCAGCAGCCGCGGUAACAC
rnacentral:rRNA from 1 species